rnacentral:rRNA from 1 species
AUGGCGCAAACCAUGGCGUCCAUGACCGGCCUGUCGCAGGGCGUGCGUCUCCCAGGCCCGGCCGGCAGGCGCGCCAGCAGGUUCACCGUGAGGGCGUCGUCGGCGGAGGCCGAGGCCGCCGGCCGCCGCGCGGUCCUUGGCCUCAUGGCCAGCGGAGUCGUCGGGAGCGCGUUCGCUCAGGUGGUGCACGCCGGCACCGUCGCGGCCAUCAAGGUUGGCCCCCCGCCGCCGCUCUCCGGUGGACUCCCCGGAACGGACAACUCGGACGAGGCAAGGGACUUCGACCUGCCCCUGAAGAACCGGUUCUACCUGCAGCCGCUGCCACCGGCGGAGGCGGCGGUGCGGGCCAAGGAGUCGGCCCAGGACAUCCUCAACCUCAAGCCGCUCAUCGACAAGAAGCAAUGGCCGUACGUCAUGAACGACCUCCGCCUCAGGGCCUCCUACCUGCGCUACGACCUCAAGACCGUCAUCUCCUCCAAGACCACCAAGGAGGAGAAGAAGGACCUCAAGGACCUCACCGGCAAGCUCUUCGCCACCCUCGACGGGCUUGACCAUGCAGCCAAGAUCAAGAGCCCCACCGAGGCCGAGAAGUACUACGGCGAGACCAAGACUGUUCUCGGCGAUGUCCUCGCCAAGCUAGGCUAG